ensembl:misc_RNA Metazoa_SRP Metazoan signal recognition particle RNA
GCCAGGCGUGGUGGCGAGCGCCUGUAAUUCCAGCUACUCGGAAGGCUAAGGCAGGAGAAUCGCUUGGAACCAGGAGAUGGAGGUUGCAGUGAGCUGAGAUCACGCCACUGCACUCCAGCCUGGUUGACAGAGCAAGACUCUGUCUUAA